GGCGGGAAGCAGCAGACAGUAGGGUUGCAGAAACUACCUACGCAGCAGCAAUCAGGCUCACUGGACUUACUUUUCAGAUCAGUUUAUGCCUUUGCAUCUUGCUGUUCCAGUUUCAAGAAGUUAAGGAAGAUAACUGGAGAUGUGAUAACGAUACCAGAAGACUGAGAAGAAACUGACCCUCAUUAGAAAGAUGAUGGAGACCACAUUUCCCCUACGCCGACAGACCAUAGUGAUGUCCUGCCCACCAGUGAACGACCUCAUGGACCUCUGGCCUGCUCUUAAAAUAGAGUCUGAGUUGUAUGCAGAGUUCCAGCGGAUUACAAAUCAGAACCUGCCCAACACG